UACGAGGGGGGCGAGCGUUGUUCGGAAUUAUUGGGCGUAAAGGGUGCGUAGGCGGUUUGGUAAGUCUUGUGUGAAAUCUUCGGGCUCAACUCGAAGUCUGCACGAGAAACUGCCGGGCUUGAGUAUGGGAGAGGUGAGUGGAAUUCCCGGUGUAGCGGUGAAAUGCGUAGAUAUCAGGAAGAACACCCGUGGCGAAAGCGGCUCUCUGGAACGGUACUGACGCUGAGACGCGAAAGCGUGGGGAGCGAACAGG
rnacentral:rRNA from 1 species